rnacentral:rRNA from 1 species
ACCUGGUUGAUCCUGCCAGUAGUCAUAUGCUUGUCUCAAAGAUUAAGCCAUGCAUGUCUAAGUAUAAACGCCUUAUACUGUGAAACUGCGAAUGGCUCAUUAAAUCAGUUAUAGUUUAUUUGAUAGUACCUUUACCUACAUGGAUAACCGUGGUAAUUCUAGAGCUAAUACAUGCGAAAAAUCCCGACUUCUGGAAGGGAUGUAUUUAUUAGAUACAAAACCAACCUUUGUUAAAAUUUUUGGUGAUUCAUAAUAACUUCUCGAAUCGUAUAACUUUUUAUGUUGACGAUGGUUCAUUCAAAUUUCUGCCCUAUCAACUUUCGAUGGUAAUGUAGUGGAUUACCAUGGUUGUAACGGGUAACGGAGAAUUAGGGUUCGGUUCCGGAGAGGGAGCAUGAGAAACGGCUACCACAUCUAAGGAAGGCAGCAGGCGCGCAAAUUACCCAAUCCCGACACGGGGAGGUAGUGACAAGAAAUAACAAUGCAGGUCCCAAAAGGAUUUGCAAUUGGAAUGAGUACAAUUUAAACCCCUUAACGAGGAACAUGCCGGAGGGCAAGUCUGGUGCCAGCAGCCGCGGUAAUUCCAGCUCCAAUAGCGUAUAUUAAUGUUGUUGCAGUUAAAAAGCUCGUAGUUGGAUUUUGGGCUUGUUUGAUUGGUCACAAUUCUAUCCUUUUUUCUUUUCUUUUUUCUUUUUUUUCUGAAAAAGGAAGAAGGGAAAAAAAGGGGGAUAAAUUAAGGAUUGUGUUGUUGAAAUUUUUUUUUUCUUUGUUCAUUUAUUUUUUUUUUCUUUUCUGAGAAAGAAGAUAGAGAAAAUAAAAAAAAGAAUUAUUUCCUACUAAUUGGGCUCGCCUUUAAUAUUUUUUUAAGAAAAGGAAGAAGAAAUUUAUUUUUUUUUUCUUUUCUUAAAAAACCUUUUCUAAAGACUUAAUGUACCUUUUAUCGGGUGUGUUAAGGAUUUAGGACUUUUACUUUGAAAAAAUUAGAGUGUUCAAAGCAGGCUUAUUUUCGCUUGAAUACAUUAGCAUGGAAUAAUGAAAUAGGACUUUGGUUCUAUUUUGUUGGCUUAUAGGACCGAAGUAAUGAUUAAUAGGGAUAGUUGGGGUGGUUAGUAUUUAAUUGUCAGAGGUGAAAUUCUUGGAUUUAUGAAAGACUAACUUCUGCGAAAGCAUUCCACAAGGAUGUUUUCAUUAAUCAAGAACGAAAGUUAGGGGAUCGAAGAUGAUCAGAUACCGUCGUAGUCUUAACCAUAAACUAUGCCGACUAGGGAUCGGUGGAUGUUAUUUUUUGUGACUCCAUCGGCACCUUACUGAGAAAUCAUAAGUCUUUGGGUUCCGGGGGGAGUAUGGUCGCAAGGCUGAAACUUAAAGGAAUUGACGGAAGGGCACCACCAGGAGUGGAGCCUGCGGCUUAAUUUGACUCAACACGGGGAAACUCACCAGGUCCAGACAUGGUAAGGAUUGACAGAUUGAGAGCUCUUUCUUGAUUCUAUGGGUGGUGGUGCAUGGCCGUUCUUAGUUGGUGGAGUGAUCUGUCUGGUUAAUUCCGAUAACGAACGAGACCUUAACCUGCUAAAUAGUUACGUGAAUUUAGCUUGUUUAGAGGAUGAAAAGUUUUUUUUUUCUUUUCUUCUUUUUUCUUUCUUUUUUUCUUUUUUCUUUUUUUUUUUUUUUCUCUUCUGAAAGGAAGGGAGGGAAAAAUUAAGGGGUUUAGGAGAAUGGGGGAGAAGAGAGUGGGGGGGGGGAGAAGGAUUUUUCAACCAAAAUCCUCUUUAUGGGUAGUUCUACGUUCUCUUUUUUUCUGAAAAUUUAGAAAUAUUUUUUCAAGAGAACUGAGAAACUUCUUAGAGGGACUGUCAGUGUCUAACUGACGGAAGUUUGAGGCAAUAACAGGUCUGUGAUGCCCUUAGAUGUCCUGGGCUGCACGCGCGCUACACUGAUGAAGUCAGCGAGUUUAUAACCUUGUCCGGAAGGACCAAAGAUUUUUUUUUAUUUUUUUUUUUUAAAAAGAAAUGAAAUUUAAUUUUUGUGGGUAAUCUUCUGAAACUUCAUCGUGCUGGGGAUAGAUCAUUGCAAUUAUUGAUCUUCAACGAGGAAUUCCUAGUAAGCGCGAGUCAUCAGCUCGCGUUGAUUACGUCCCUGCCCUUUGUACACACCGCCCGUCGCUACUACCGAUUGAAUGGUUUAGUGAGAUCUUUGGACCGGAUCAACACAGCUGUCUGACAGCAGUGAUGAUUUGGGAAGCUGAUCAAACUUGAUCAUUUAGAGGAAGUAAAAGUCGUAACAAGGUUUCCGUAGGUGAACCUGCGGAAGGAUCA